ACCGGCAGCUCAAGUGGUGGCCAUUAUUAUUGGGCCUAAAGCGUUCGUAGCCGGUUUGAUAAGUCUCUGGUGAAAUCCCGCAGCUUAACUGUGGGACUUGCUGGAGAUACUAUCAGACUUGAGGUCGGGAGAGGUUAGGGGUACUCCCAGGGGAGGGCUGAACGCAGAUACACAUGGGAGGAGAAACUAAGGCGAAGGCGGCGAACUGGACCAACCCCGCUGGUGAGCAAGGUCCGUCCGUGCCUCGAUACG
rnacentral:rRNA from 1 species